UUCAGCGGCGGACGGGUGAGUAAUGCCUAGGAAUCUGCCCGAUAGUGGGGGACAACGUUUUCGAAAGGAGCGCUAAUACCGCAUACGUCCUACGGGAGAAAGUGGGGGAUCUUCGGACCUCACGCUAUCGGAUGAGCCUAGGUCGGAUUAGCUAGUUGGUGAGGUAAUGGCUCACCAAGGCGACGAUCCGUAACUGGUCUGAGAGGAUGAUCAGUCACACUGGAACUGAGACACGGUCCAGACUCCUACGGGAGGCAGCAGUGGGGAAUAUUGGACAAUGGGCGAAAGCCUGAUCCAGCCAUGCCGCGUGUGUGAAGAAGGUCUUCGGAUUGUAAAGCACUUUAAGCUGGGAGGAAGGGCAGUAAGUUAAUACCUUGCUGUUUUGACGUUACCAGCAGAAUAAGCACCGGCUAACUUCGUGCCAGCAGCCGCGGUAAUACGAAGGGUGCAAGCGUUAAUCGGAAUUACUGGGCGUAAAGCGCGCGUAGGUGGUUCAGCAAGUUGGAUGUGAAAGCCCCGGGCUCAACCUGGGAACUGCAUCCAAAACUACUGGGCUAGAGUAUGGUAGAGGGUGGUGGAAUUUCCUGUGUAGCGGUGAAAUGCGUAGAUAUAGGAAGGAACACCAGUGGCGAAGGCGACCACCUGGACUAAUACUGACACUGAGGUGCGAAAGCGUGGGGAGCAAACAGGAUUAGAUACCCUGGUAGUCCACGCCGUAAACGAUGUCAACUAGUUGUUGGGUUCCUUGAGGACUUAGUAACGAAGCUAACGCGAUAAGUUGACCGCCUGGGGAGUACGGCCGCAAGGUUAAAACUCAAAUGAAUUGACGGGGGCCCGCACAAGCGGUGGAGCAUGUGGUU
rnacentral:rRNA from 1 species